rnacentral:misc_RNA from 1 species
AAUUAUCAAAUUCUUACCAGCUUGCUGGUGUGAAUUUGGAUGUAUGGGGGGAUUUGCUGAGUCAUUUCAUUGUUCAGCUCCUCUGAAAUGUAUAUUAGCAAAAGAAAGAGAACUUCAUGCUGAUUUUGUUGGUGUUAUAAUAACUGUUUCAACAACUAAUGUCAGAAGAGGUGAUCUUGAGUCCUUAGGGACCAAUUAUAAUUCUUUU